AUUGAACGCUGGCGGCAGGCCUAACACAUGCAAGUCGAACGAGUGGCGGACGGGUGAGUAAUGUCUGGGAAACUGCCCGAUGGUGGGGGAUAACUACUGGAAACGGUAGCUAAUACCGCAUACCAUCGGAUGUGCCCAGAUGGGAUUGGCUAGUAGGUGGGGUAACGGCUCACCUGGGCGACGAUCCCUAGCUGGUCUGAGAGGAUGACCAGCCACACUGGAACUGAGACACGGUCCAGGUCCUUACGGGAGGCAGCAGUGGGGAAUAUUGUACAAUGGGCGCAAGCCUGAUGCAGCCAUGCCGCGUGUAUGAAGAAGGCCUUCGGGUUGUAAAGUACUUUCAGCGAGGAGGCGUUACUCGCAGAAGAAUCACCGGCUAACUCCGUGCCAGCCGCCGCGGUAAUUC
rnacentral:rRNA from 1 species